rnacentral:rRNA from 1 species
UGCAAGUCGAACGAAGUAGCAAUACUUAGUGGCAGACGGGUGAGUAACAUGUAGGUAUCUGCCCUUUGGCCUGGAAUAACACGAGGAAACUUGUGCUAAUACCGGAUAAGUCUUUACGGAGAAAGCUUUAUGCACCAUUGGAUGAGCCUGCACUUGAUUAGUUUGUUGGUGGGGUAAUGGCCUACCAAGACUUUGAUCAAUAGCUGAUUUGAGAGGAUGAUCAGCCACAUUGGGACUGAGACACGGCCCAAACUCCUACGGGAGGCAGCAGUGGGGAAUCUUGCACAAUGGAGGAAACUCUGAUGCAGCGAUGCCGCGUGAGUGGAGAAGGCCCUUGGGUUGUAAAGCUCUUUCGUCGGGGAAGAAAAUGACUGUACCCGAAUAAGAAGGUCCGGCUAACUUCGUGCCAGCAGCCGCGGUAAUACGAAGGGACCUAGCGUAGUUCGGAAUUACUGGGCUUAAAGAGUUCGUAGGUGGUUGAAAUAGUUGGUGGUGAAAUCCCAGAGCUUAACUCUGGAACUGCCAUCAAAACUUUUCAGCUAGAGUAUGAUAGAGGAAAGCAGAAUUUCUAGUGUAGAGGUGAAAUUCGUAGAUAUUAGAAAGAAUACCAAUUGCGAAGGCAGCUUUCUGGAUCAUUACUGACACUGAGGAACGAAAGCAUGGGUAGCGAAGAGGAUUAGAUACCCUCGUAGUCCAUGCCGUAAACGAUGUGUGUUAGACGUUGGAAAUUUAUUUUCAGUGUCGCAGCGAAAGCGAUAAACACACCGCCUGGGGAGUACGACCGCAAGGUUAAAACUCAAAUGAAUUGACGGGGACCCGCACAAGUAGUGGAGCAUGUGGUUUAAUUCGAAGAUACGCGCAGAACCUUACCAACACUUGACAUGUUCGUCGCGACUUUAAGAGAUUAAAGUUUUCGGUUCGGCCGGACGAAACACAGGUGCUGCAU